rnacentral:tRNA from 1 species
GGAAGCGUAAGGGGGCUGGUGUCCCUCCCGGGCUUCAAACCCGGUGCACCUCAAAUAAAAGGGGUGGGUGGGUUCAAUUCCCACACGCUUCCGCCA